rnacentral:rRNA from 1 species
ACGCUCGACACCUACUGGAGGCAGCAGUGGGGAAUAUUGGGCAAUGGAGGCAACUCUGACCCAGCAACGCCGCGUGAAUGAUGAAGGUCUUCGGAUUGUAAAGUUCUGUGACGGGGGACGAACACAAUGACGGUACCCCGAUAGCAAGCCACGGCUAACUACGUGCCAGCAGCCGUGGUAAUCUGAGCGGGCUGGCAAGGC